AGCAGCCGCGGUAAUUCCAGCUCCAAUAGCGUAUAUUAAAGUUGUUGCAGUUAAAAAGCUCGUAGUUGAAUUUCGGGGUUAGUAGAUUGGUCAUGCCUCUGGUAUGUACUGGUCUCACUGAUUCCUCCUUCCUGAUGAUCCGUAAUGCCAUUAAUUUGGUGUUGCGGGGAAUUUGGACUGUUACUUUGAAAAAAUUAGAGUGUUUAAAGCAAGCUAACGCUUGAAUACAUUAGCAUGGAAUAAUGAAAUAGGGCGUUCCAUCCUAUUUUGUUGGUUUCUAGGAUUGACGUAAUGAUUAAUAGGGAUAGUUGGGGGCAUUAGUAUUCAAUUGUCAGAGGUGAAAUUCUUGGAUUUAUUGAAGACUAACUACUGCGAAAGCAUUUGCCAAGGAUGUUUUCAUUAAUCAAGAACGAAAGUUAGGGGAUCGAAGACGAUCAGAUACCGUCGUAGUCUUAACCAUAAACUAUGCCGACUAGGGAUCGGAUGAUGUUAAUUUUUUAAUGACUCA
rnacentral:rRNA from 1 species